AUACCUUUCUCUGCCUUUUGGCUAAAGUCAAGUGUGGUAUUUGUUUUUAAUAUUUGAUAUGCGAGUCAUUGAUUGACACGAUGUUAACUUAAAAAUUCUUUAAGGGGAGAGUCUAUUGGGGUAGCUUGCUACUUGGGCUCUAGUGUUACUCAUGCGUUGCACUAUAGCAUGGGCUGGUACACCCCAC